CAGAACAGUUUCACUGCUUUUCCUCUCAUCAGACACAUCCCGAGGUAACACAAUAGAAGAUGAAAUGUGCAGGAGGCUUAUAUUAAACACAGAAGAUAGCGUGAAUACAAACUGCUGACUGAGGAAGAUGAAAAGUGGCUGCUCACGGAAAUGAAAAUCUUCUUGGACAUCUAACGUUUCUCAGCAUGUCCCGUUUUGUUAGACUCAUGCGACGAAGAAGUAUGCUGACUCCUCUGAUUUAAGCUCUACGAAGCAUGAUAUAGACCUAGAUAUGUGAAUUUCUCAAUGAACAGUUUCUCAAAAGGUGUCACUGAUGAAGAUUUAACAGUGUGAACUGGCAUGUUUUGUGUCAUCACAACAGGACCGAGCUAUUUUAGCCAUAACCAAAUCUCCACUAAAGUAGUCUCAUGGAUUUCUAAAAGACAAAGAACAGGCUUUAACAUGACUUGAAAUACAGGAAACACACACAUGUAGGUGUACCUUUCCUUUACGUAGCUGCCUCACUCAAAACAAAUAAAACACCCUUUUCAUAUCGCAAAGAAAUUUAUCUUUAGCAACAGCUGCUUGACCAGUUUGGAGGUUCUCCAGCUGGACCGAAAAUGUGACGGAAAAUAACAUGGGAAUGAGGUGGUUUAAUUAGGAACAGUUGGAUCUGUUUUGGAACAAACAUAUCUUCAGUGUCCUUUAGUACGAGAGUGUUGCUCACUCAGGGGGAAAAAAAACGUCUUCUUCCCCAUUUCAUAUCAAAGUCAGCGUUAGCAAGGACAACAAUAAUGGCUUAAUUAGCAUUUCAUUCCUUGUCUUCAUUUCGUGUCUAAGAUAAAGCAGAUAUGACUAAAACUACAUGACAUCAGACUACAUUUUCGUUAAUAUGCGAAAUGUUCAAUAGUGGCAUGUUGAUCCAUUUCACAUCAACCAGAAAGCCUUAGCAAGUAUAUCUACGUGAGAAGCUUUUAGCAUGUCGUCUCACUUCAGCAUCUAAGAUAAAGCUUCAGCAAGGACAGAAUUCAGUUUAUUCUAAUCUACAUCACACUGUGUUUGUAAAGACAAUAUUAUACAAUUCAUGUGUGGUAGCAUUU
ensembl:lncRNA